rnacentral:rRNA from 1 species
GAUGAACGCUAGCGGCACGCUUCAUACAUGCAAGUCGAGGGGCAGCAUAAAGUACUUGUACUUUGAUGGCGACCGGCGAACGGGUGCGUAACGCGUAUGCAACUUACCUUUUACUAGAGAAUAGCCAAGAGAAAUUUUGAUUAAUGCUCUAUACUCUUUUUAACUCACAUGAGUUUUUAAGAAAAGCUCCGGCGGUAAAAGAUGGGCAUGCGUCCUAUUAGCUUGUAGGUGAGGUAACGGCUCACCUAAGCUCCGAUAGGUAGGGGUCCUGAGAGGGAGAUCCCCCACACUGGUACUGAGACACGGACCAGACUUCUACGGAAGGCAGCAGUAAGGAAUAUUGGACAAUGGAGGAAACUCUGAUCCAGCGAUGCCGCGUGAAGGAAGACGGCCCUAUGGGUUGUAAACUUCUUUUAUACAGGAAGAAACCUUUCCACGUGUGGAAAGCUGACGGUACUGUAAGAAUAAGGAUCGGCUAACUCCGUG